ACCAAACCCGGAUGUGAUAAUGUAAUAUUGUGUAAACAACACGGUAAAAUCCACAGGAAUUUUAGGUCUACAUGCUGAACAGCACAGACUAAUACUUGAAACGUAUAUUGGAAGGACGAUUUUUCUGAAUUUCUCAAGGAUAGGGGCUUAUCUAUAGAGAUGAAGUAGAUAAAGACAGAAGAAGGUCACGUAAGACGGUACUACGGUAGCGGCGGAAUUUACAUGUCGCAAAAUAUUUACAGAAUU